CCGUAAAGACGUGAAAACGAUCGUUAAAAGCUGUGAAAGGCUGCAGAGUUCACCGGAAACUCUUUAAUUCUCUCUAAAAACUCUUUAAUUCAGAUUUACAUGAAAGUUUUUAUCCCGAUGGUCAGAGAGAGAGGACUGAGGAAAAGUUUCCACGAGUUCAGCCAAGGACAGGCAAGGUCUAGCUGAAGGAUGCCUGAUGACAUGGCCAGGCCUUUAAUCCGCAGCAGAGGUGAAGGAGCCGGAUCCAGACAUGUGGAGGCCUCCUUCUCUGAGCUAGACUCUCCGGUUGUUGGAAUUCUGGGUACGGGGGAUUUCUCCAGAUCCCUGGCCAGGAGGCUGGUGGCCUCCGGCUACCAGGUGGUGGUGGGGAGUCGGACCCCCAAACGCUCUGUGGCCCUUUUCCCUGAAGAGGCUGAGGUGACGUCCCAGAUGGAGGCAGCCAGUCAGGCGGACCUGGUCUUCGUCGCUGUUUUCCCGGAGCACCAUUCCACCCUGGAGCAGCUGAAGCCGGCGCUAGCUGGAAAGACGCUGGUGGACGUCAGCAACAGUCUGAAAGUGAACCGGGAAGGACCUUCCAAUGCUGAACAGCUGGCCCGCCUGUUUCCAGAGAGCUGUGUAGUCAAAGGGUUCAACACCAUAUCUGCGUGGACGUUGCAGACGGGACCUCGGGACGGGAGCAGGCAGGUUUUUCUCUGCAGUAACAGCAGCCAGGCCAAAACCACGGUGAUGCAGCUGUGCAGAAGAAUGGGCUUCGUUCCAGUCGAUAUGGGCCUCCUGUGCUCCUCUCUGGAGAUCGAAAACCUUCCCCUCUAUUUAUUCCCCUCCUGGCGCGUCCCAGUCCUCUGCACCAUGUCCCUCUUCCUGUUCUUCUACCUGUACAACUUCCUCCAGGACGUCCUGCAGCCUUACGUGACGGCAAAGAAGAAUGUUUUCUACAAAAUGCCCAUAGAGACGGUGAACGUCACUCUCCCCUCGGUGGCGUUGGUGAUGCUGGCGCUCGUCUACCUGCCCGGUCUGAUCGCUGCUUUCCUCCAGCUGUGGUGGGGCACCAAGUACAGACGCUUCCCUGCAUGGCUGGACCGGUGGAUGACCGGCAGGAAGCAGUUUGGGCUGUGUAGCUUCCUGUGUGCUGUGCUACAUGUGAUCUACAGUCUGUGCCUGCCCAUGAGGAAGUCUGCUCGCUACAAGCUGCUGAACCAGGCUGUUAAACAGGUGAAGGACCAGGUGGAGAACUCGUGGGUGGAGGAGGAGGUGUGGAGGAUGGAGCUGUACCUUUCAGUCGGCAUCAUGGCUCUGGGGCUGCUCUCCCUGCUGGCCGUCACGUCACUGCCCUCAGUGUCCAACACUGUCAACUGGAGAGAGUUCACCUUCAUCCAGGUAAACACAGAGAGUUCACCUUCAUCCAGGUAAACACAGAGAGUUCACCUUCAUCCAGGUAAACGCAGAGAGUUCACCUUCAUCCAGGUAAACGCAGAGAGUUCACCUUCAUCCAGGUAAACGCAGAGAGUUCACCUUCAUCCAGGUAAACGCAGAGAGUUCACCUUCAUCCAGGUAAACAUGAGAGUUCACCUUCAUCCAGGUAAACGCAGAGAGUUCACCUUCAUCCAGGUAAACACAGAGAGUUCACCUUCAUCCAGGUAAACAGAGAGUUCACCUUCAUCCAGGUAAACAGAGAGUUCACCUUCAUCCAGGUAAACGCAGAGAGUUCACCUUCAUCCAGGUAAACGCAGAGAGUUCACCUUCAUCCAGGUAAACAGAGAGUUCACCUUCAUCCAGGUAAACAGAGAGUUCACCUUCAUCCAGGUAAACAGAGAGUUCACCUUCAUCCAGGUAAACACAGAGAGUUCACCUUCAUCCAGGUAAACACAGAGAGUUCACCUUCAUCCAGGUAAACACAGAGAGUUCACCUUCAUCCAGGUAAACACAGAGAGUUCACCUUCAUCCAGGUAAACGCAGAGAGUUCACCUUCAUCCAGGUAAACAGAGAGUUCACCUUCAUCCAGGUAAACAGAGAGUUCACCUUCAUCCAGGUAAACACAGAGAGUUCACCUUCAUCCAGGUAAACAGAGAGUUCACCUUCAUCCAGGUAAACGCAGAGAGUUCACCUUCAUCCAGGUAAACGCAGAGAGUUCACCUUCAUCCAGGUAAACAGAGAGUUCACCUUCAUCCAGGUAAACGCAGAGAGUUCACCUUCAUCCAGGUAAACAGAGAGUUCACCUUCAUCCAGGUAAACACAGAGAGUUCACCUUCAUCCAGGUAAACACAGAGAGUUCACCUUCAUCCAGGUAAACGCAGAGAGUUCACCUUCAUCCAGGUAAACAUGAGAGUUCACCUUCAUCCAGGUAAACGCAGAGAGUUCACCUUCAUCCAGGUAAACAUGAGAGUUCACCUUCAUCCAGGUAAACACAGAGAGUUCACCUUCAUCCAGGUAAACACAGAGAGUUCACCUUCAUCCAGGUAAACACAGAGAGUUCACCUUCAUCCAGGUAAACACAGAGAGUUCACCUUCAUCCAGGUAAACAGAGAGUUCACCUUCAUCCAGGUAAACACAGAGAGUUCACCUUCAUCCAGGUAAACAGAGAGUUCACCUUCAUCCAGGUAAACAUGAGAGUUCACCUUCAUCCAGGUAAACACAGAGAGUUCACCUUCAUCCAGGUAAACACAGAGAGUUCACCUUCAUCCAGGUAAACAGAGAGUUCACCUUCAUCCAGGUAAACGCAGAGAGUUCACCUUCAUCCAGGUAAACACAGAGAGUUCACCUUCAUCCAGGUAAACAUGAGAGUUCACCUUCAUCCAGGUAAACGCAGAGAGUUCACCUUCAUCCAGGUAAACACAGAGAGUUCACCUUCAUCCAGGUAAACACAGAGAGUUCACCUUCAUCCAGGUAAACAUGAGAGUUCACCUUCAUCCAGGUAAACGCAGAGAGUUCACCUUCAUCCAGGUAAACACAGAGAGUUCACCUUCAUCCAGGUAAACACAGAGAGUUCACCUUCAUCCAGGUAAACAGAGAGUUCACCUUCAUCCAGGUAAACGCAGAGAGUUCACCUUCAUCCAGGUAAACACAGAGAGUUCACCUUCAUCCAGGUAAACACAGAGAGUUCACCUUCAUCCAGGUAAACAUGAGAGUUCACCUUCAUCCAGGUAAACAUGAGAGUUCACCUUCAUCCAGGUAAACGCAGAGAGUUCACCUUCAUCCAGGUAAACACAGAGACUUCACCUUCAUCCAGGUAAACACAGAGAGUUCACCUUCAUCCAGGUAAACACAGAGAGUUCACCUUCAUCCAGGUAAACACAGAGAGUUCACCUUCAUCCAGGUAAACGCAGAGAGUUCACCUUCAUCCAGGUAAACGCAGAGAGUUCACCUUCAUCCAGGUAAACACAGAGAGUUCACCUUCAUCCAGGUAAACGCAGAGAGUUCACCUUCAUCCAGGUAAACAUGAGAGUUCACCUUCAUCCAGGUAAACGCAGAGAGUUCACCUUCAUCCAGGUAAACACAGAGACUUCACCUUCAUCCAGGUAAACACAGAGAGUUCACCUUCAUCCAGGUAAACAGAGAGUUCACCUUCAUCCAGGUAAACGCAGAGAGUUCACCUUCAUCCAGGUAAACACAGAGAGUUCACCUUCAUCCAGGUAAACACAGAGAGUUCACUUUCAUCCAGGUAAACACAGAGAGUUCACCUUCAUCCAGGUAAACAUGAGAGUUCACCUUCAUCCAGGUAAACGCAGAGAGUUCACCUUCAUCCAGGUAAACACAGAGACUUCACCUUCAUCCAGGUAAACGCAGAGAGUUCACCUUCAUCCAGGUAAACACAGAGAGUUCACCUUCAUCCAGGUAAACGCAGAGAGUUCACCUUCAUCCAGGUAAACACAGAGAGUUCACCUUCAUCCAGGUAAACACAGAGAGUUCACCUUCAUCCAGGUAAACGCAGAGAGGAGCAGACGCUCUCUGAACUUACAGGACUGACAGAGAGACCUGGUCCUGGUUUCUAUGAGCUGUUUCAGAUCCUCAGACUGUCAUGGCCGCUCAUGCUGGGAAACCUCCACUGAAGCUGAAUGUGUUAACACAGAAUGAUGUCUGAGGAUGGACAGUUCAGACACGUGGCUGCUUCUCAUAGGUCAGGGGUCAUCAAGUAGAUCUGCACCAGGGUCAGAUUUGGUCUCAGCAGAAACUCUGGGGGCCGGAUUUUCAAAAAAGAAACAUUAAAUGAACAUUUUGGUCUGACUGAAAUAUUAUUGCAGUAGUAUUUGUAUUUUCCUUUAAACUACAGGACAUUUUUAGUCA